GAGGAAUUGUGCAAGUACAGAGUGCUGUGGUGGUUUUAAAAAGGCAAGCUCAGGCCUUUAUUCUGAUUAGCAGAAUAUGGUCAUGGGUCAGAGAUAAGAGACAGGCGGAGGCAGUUGAGGAAGGCUGACCUGGAACUCUGCCUGCUGAAAUGUUUCUGAAGCUGAAGAUGAGGAUCUUGGUGAGCGUUUUACCCAAGGCUAGUCUAAUUAAGACUGGAUCUACCAUGUGAUCAGGAGAUGAACCACAAAGACAGAUGAAAACUGCAGAGAGAGGAAAUACAUCCGAAUGUAAAAAUAUCAAAAAUGUUUUUCUAUGCAAAUCAAAUCUACACU